AUGCUUAUCCUAAAGACUAAGCCAUGCAUGUGCCGGAAUUAGAGGAAGCGAUUCUCUCCGAAUCUGCGAACGGCUCCGCAAACCAGUUGUAACCCAUAGCAAGCCUGCUCGUGGAACCCGGGAUGGUGUCCUCACGGACCCGCCCGGGGAAAGCGGGCGAUAAGGCUAUACCCCUGGUAAUCCUGUGGCUAAUACUCGACCAUACGACCCGCAGCCCGCGACCCUCGUCAUCCGACCGCUUGUGGCGGGGGACGGGGAAAUCGCGGUGCGGGGAGUGUGCGGACAUUAACCAAUAGCGAUGGGGGACACCUCACAAACCCUACCAGGAAAGAACGCACGUUCAAACCGCGGUACAAAAGGGAUGCGCGGUGGACACCAUCUCUCUCUGUGCUACGACUUCCUCCAUUCCUUGCCCUCGGGCGGAGGGUGGCCGGUCGCAUCGGGGGAGAGAUCGGGAGAAACCGCAUCCUCGCGGGCCUUGAAACGGGCUUCUGACCUAUCAACUGUACAGCAGUGCAAGGGACGUGCUGUGGUGACAACGGGUACAGAGGAUUAGGGUUCGAUCCUGGAGAGUGGGCCUGAGAGAUCGCUCACACUUCUAAGGAAGGCAGCAGGCGCGUAACGUUCCCAUUGGGCGAAGCCCGAGGGCGUUAGGGGAAAUAUGAAUGCCUGCCUAUGGUGGGCAAUCAAAUGGU
rnacentral:rRNA from 1 species